GACGAACGCUGGCGGCGUGCUUAACACAUGCAAGUCGAACGGAAAGGCCCUGCUUGCAGGGUGCUCGAGUGGCGAACGGGUGAGUAACACGUGGGUGAUCUGCCCCUUACUUUGGGAUAAGCCUGGGAAACUGGGUCUAAUACUGGAUAGGACCAUGCUGUAGGUGGUGUGGUGGAAAGAUUAGUUUCGGUAAGGGAUGAGCUCGCGGCCUAUCAGCUUGUUGGUGGGGUAAUGGCCUACCAAGGCGUCGACGGGUAGCCGGCCUGAGAGGGUGGACGGCCACAUUGGGACUGAGAUACGGCCCAGACUCCUACGGGAGGCAGCAGAGGGGAAUAUUGCACAAUGGGCGCAAGCCUGAUGCAGCAACGCCGCGUGGGGGAUGACGGCCUUCGGGUUGUAAACUCCUUUCAGCCAUGACGAAGCCCUUGUGGUGACGGUAGUGGUAGAAGAAGCACCGGCUAACUACGUG
rnacentral:rRNA from 1 species